rnacentral:lncRNA from 1 species
AAGAGCUUUAAAUGAGGGAGCCAAGCGGCCCUGAGAGCAGCGAUGAAGGAAGAAGAGCAAAUCCAAUGCGGUACAUGGAGACCAGCAGAACAGACUGUGGUAGAGACUUCAGGCUCAGCCAGAUCUGGUUCUCUUCUCCUUCCUGGGUACCAGGGAGAACCACACCUCCCAGGCUCCUUGCAGUUCCACAGGAACAUGUGACUAGCUCCGGCCCAAGGGCUCGGAGAAGUGUCACGUGUUGCUUCCAGGUUGCAAGUGAAUGUGAGUUAUCCGCACUUUCUCAUUCCCUUUAGUAGCAACCGUGGAGACCACAUGUUGAGAUGGCAGAGCGUGGAUCCCUGGGCUGCCACAGAAAGGAGCUGUCCUGAACAGCUGCCCAGUUCACAUUGGACUUGGCACAAAUGAGAAAUAAGGGUUGCGUUGUUAAGUCGCUG